UAAAACGUAGGGGGCGAGCGUUGUCCGGAAUUACUGGGCGUAAAGGGCGCGUAGGUGGUGCAUUAAGUUAGAGGUGAAAGUGCGGGGCUUAACCCCGUGAGGCCUCUGAUACUGGUGGACUUGAGUGCAGGAGAGGGGAGCAGAAUUCCCAGUGUAGCGGUGAAAUGCGUAGAUAUUGGGAGGAAUACCAGUGGCGAAGGCGGCUCUCUGGACUGUAACUGACACUGAGGCGCGAAAGCGUGGGGAGCGAACAGGAUUAGAUACCCUGGUAGUCCACGCCGUAAACGAUGAGUGCUAGGUGUUGGGGGUAUCGACCCCCCCAGUGCCGUAGUUAACACAAUAAGCACUCCGCCUGGGGAGUACGGUCGCAAGACUGAA
rnacentral:rRNA from 1 species